AGUGGCAGAUUAAAUCCAGCAGCUAAAAUUAUGCCAAUUUGUUACAAACACCACUUGAGUUACCAACCAAGUGGCAGAUUAAGUCCAGCAGCUAAAAUGCCAAUUUGUUACAAACACCACUUGAGUUACCAAGGCAGAGUGGACAGUGAGAAAGAGAGAAAGGUCUUCCCUUUUGCCGUUGGUUCACCCUCCAAUAGCCACUGCGGU